rnacentral:rRNA from 1 species
UUAAAAAGCUCGUAGUUGGAUUUCUGGGAGGGUGCCAAUGUCCGUCAACGUGCGUGUGCAGCGGCGCCCUUCCAUCCUUCUGUUAACGCCUCUGGGCAUUUAUUUGCUGGUGGCGGGCUCAGAUAUUUUACCUUGAGAAAAUUAGAGUGUUUCAGGCAGGCUAGGCCGGAAUACAUUAGCAUGGAAUAAUAGAAUAGGACUAUGGUCUCUUUGUUGGUUUGAGGGACUAUGGUAAUGAUUAAUAGGGAUAGUUGGGGGCAUUAGUAUUUAAUUGUCAGAGGUGGAAUUCUCAGAUUUGUUAAAGACUAACUUAUGCGAAAGCAUUUGCCAAGGAUGUUUUCAUUAAAUCAAGAACGAAAGUUAGGGGAUCAAAGACGAUCAGAUACCCGUCCUAGUCUUAACCCUUAAACUAUGCCGACUCGGGAUCGGGGG